rnacentral:rRNA from 1 species
GACGAACGCUGGCGGCGUGCUUAAUACAUGCAAGUCGAGCGAGGCCCAUCCAGUGGCAACACUGGGGAGGCCGAGCGGCGAACGGGUGAGUAACACGUGAGCAACCUGCCCCGAACGUCUGGAAUAACAUCGGGAAACCGGUGCUAAUACCGGAUUGCCCACCUGACCGCAUGAUCGGGUGAGGAAAGAUUUAUCGCUUCGGGAGGGGCUCGCGGCCUAUCAGCUAGUUGGCGGGGUAACGGCCCACCAAGGCGUCGACGGGUAGCUGGUCUGAGAGGACGACCAGCCACACUGGGACUGAGACACGGGCCCAGACUCCUACGGGAGGCAGCAGUAGGGAAUCUUGCGCAAUGGGCGAAAGCCUGACGCAGCAACGCCGCGUGGGGAUGACGGCCU